rnacentral:rRNA from 1 species
UACGUAGAGGGCAAGCGUUGUCCGGAUUUAUUGGGCGUAAAGAGCGUGUAGGCGGCUAGAUAGGUCCGUUGUGAAAACUCGAGGCUCAACCUCGAGACGUCGAUGGAAACCAUCUGGCUAGAGUCCGGAAGAGGAGAGUGGAAUUCCUGGUGUAGCGGUGAAAUGCGCAGAUAUCAGGAGGAACACCGAUGGCGAAGGCAGGUCUCUGGGCAUUAACUGACGCUGAGGAGCGAAAGCAUGGGGAGCGAACAGG